rnacentral:rRNA from 1 species
CCUUAAUGUUGCCUCGGCGGAUCAGCCCGCGCCCUGUAAAACGGGACGGCCCGCCAGAGGACCCAAACUCUAAUGUUUCUUAUUGUAACUUCUGAGUAAAACAAACAAAUAAAUCAAAACUUUCAACAACGGAUCUCUUGGUUCUGGCAUCGAUGAAGAACGCAGCAAAAUGCGAUAAGUAAUGUGAAUUGCAGAAUUCAGUGAAUCAUCGAAUCUUUGAACGCACAUUGCGCCCGCUGGUAUUCCGGCGGGCAUGCCUGUUCGAGCGUCAUUUCAACCCUCAAGCCCCCGGGUUUGGUGUUGGGGAUCGGCUCUGCCUUACGGCGGUGCCGCCCCCGAAAUACAUUGGCGGUCUCGCUGCAGCCUCCAUUGCGUAGUAGCUAACACCUCGCAACUGGAACGCGGCGCGGCCAUGCCGUAAAACCCCAACUUCUGAAUGUUGACCUCGGAUCAGGUAGGAAUACCCGCUGAACUUAAGCA